UCUUCUCUACUAAGUUCAGCACCAAUUACCACCAAACCAACUAAUGAUUGGUUACUCAUAUUGAAUUUUGUCCUAAUAGAAUUUGAAUUGUUGAAUUAAGAGUGAAGUGAGUAUAUUAAUUAGGGUUCCUAUUAAUUAAACAAGGAGAGUAGGAUAAAAGUAAUUAAUGACAAGAUCAUUUAUUUUGAGAUGAUAAUAUUUUUUUGCAAAAAUGCCAAUUAUUUUGAGCAGAAGGGAGUACGUGAGAGUAAUCAUACAAGUAACAAGCAUUGCGACGUCCAAAUAAAAUUAUAAUUAUGUUAAUGGUGAUAUGUUUUGAGCCAACAUCUCAUAAAAUUAUUGUAAGUUUAGAAAUAACAUACAAUUAUGUAAAUUAGCUGUUAGAAUACACAUCUACAUAUAUCCUUGAUGCAUAACCCAUAUGAAGGAAAGAAACAAUAACCCAAACAGCCCAUGGAAUCCUUACAAUUUUUAAUAUAUGCUGCAAUUUAAAACAAGAACAAAGAGUGUUAGUCACUGUAAAAAAAAUAAAAAAAUAAAUGGUAGAUAUAUAUUAUAUAUAAGGUAAACAAUAUUUGUACUUUUGGUUCACGGUCACGGUUAUUAUAAAUAAAGGUUAAAUAUAUUUUUGUUUCUCUAAAUAUACCCAAUUUCAUUUUUAAUCUCUUUAAAAAAUUUCUUCGAAUUUAAUCCCUAUAAAUUUUCAGUCCUCUAUAUAAUUUUUCUGCAUGAUCUUAUAAUUUCUGACUUCCUCCUGUGUACUUUUUCACAUGUGACAUGUUAUCCACUAUUUUUUUUGUAUAUUAUCAUUAAGAAAAUUGAAAGGAAACUGCCUCUAGUGAAAAUUUCAUCGAAGAGGAUCCACCCUCCUCUACUUAAAUAGUACGAAUAUCAGACAAAAAAUCUAUUUUUUAGGGUUUGUUUAAUAGGAACCUCCAAAAAUAUUCAAAUGUACACACAUACCAUUUUUUAUUAAUUUUUUUAUAUAAUAUAUAAAAUAGAGUAAGCUGGUACAUGUAAUAUUUUAUUAAAAUAUUUAUUUGUUUUUUACCGUAAAAUAUUUAUUUUUAUAAUAAUAAAAGAGGGAAAGGUAUGUAAUAUUUUAUUAAAAUUUAGUAAACAGUUGUAUAAGGGUCCACUUUUAAAAGAAAUUUAACACCCAUAUUAGAUAUCCCCAUGCAUAAUUUAAUAUAGUAAUAUAGCAUGCAUGCUUGAAUAUCCACAUAAUAAGUGUAUCGAAGAAUUUACCUCAAUGUAAAACAAGAAUGGAUGAAUUUUUUAUUAUAAAUUAAUGAUACUAACUGAUUAUGUAUAAUUAUAAUAAAUAGAUCACGUAAGUGAAAGAAGAUUAUUUGAUAACGAAGAGAAAAUGCCUUACCAGCAUUGGUUGCAAUAAGAAAUAUGAAAAGAAAGAGAAUAAUAGCCUUAAAAAACUUGAUAAUGUGUGUCAUAUGUUCACCACACCUCUUCAUGUAGCAAAUAAAUAAAAUAAAAUAAAAUAAAAUAAUCACUUUAUAGGGUAAAUUCCCUUGUACUCAAUUUACCAGCUCUUUGCACACUUAUGAGUUGCAAAUAAUCAUUUCAAAAUCAUACCAAUGAUUAUUACAUGUGUAGUAUUAUUUGACCUUUAGCGCAAUUGAUCUUUUCACCAGAUUUAAUAAUAAGGAUAAACAAGUGAAGAAUCUUAUU
rnacentral:lncRNA from 1 species